rnacentral:misc_RNA from 1 species
AUACCUCAACUCUCAUGGCUUGCCAUGAUGAGCUUGGACUUUGGGGGUCUUGUUGGUCUGCGAGCCAGCUCCUCUUAAAUGAAUUAGCUUGCCGGUGUUUGGUGGCAUCACAGGUGUGAUAACUAUCUACGCUUGUGGUUUUCCAUCAGGUAACCAUAACCUUCAGUGGUGAGGGUUCGCUGGGGCUCAUAAAUGUCUCUCCUCAGCGAGGACACCUUUUGACC